GGUUCCAUAGUUGAAUGGUGCAAUGACUGGUUCGUAAACAGUUGAUAAAGGUUCGAUUCCUUUUGGAACCUUA
rnacentral:tRNA from 1 species